rnacentral:lncRNA from 1 species
CUUGGGUGCAGCCUUAAAAAAAGACAAAAAGGCAAAAAAUAAAAUAAAAUAAAAUAAAAAUAAAUGAGAUAGUUGAAGAUCCUUUUCUUAUGAGAAGGAUUUUCAACACAGAAAAAAAUUUCAUUUCUUAAACUGUGGAAUAUCUAGAAUUAAAGGAGGUUGCUAUUUCAUAUCUACUUUUCUUGCUAAUAUAUUAUGAUCAAUGUCUAAUGUUAAGAUUGUGCCAAAAGGACAAGAAUUUGGUCUGCCUUUAGAGUGUGAAUAUAGGUUUUUAUUAAAAAUAUUUACAACUCCCUAUAUUCUCAUUCCCUAAUAUUAACUUCCAAAUUAAUAUCCCAAGUUAUGAGAUGAAUCAUUAUUUCCAAAGGGAUCUUAACAUACUAUUAAGAAUGUCAUAAAAUGUGGUGCCAUUUAGCUGUCUUGGAGAACCAUAAAAAUCUCUGUUUCUGCGUAAAUAUAAAAUUGGCAAACCAAUUUAUGAGCUCUUCUUCAUGCAGCACUGGCUUUGGGCCCUUUUCGCUCCUGUGAUUUGGGUCGUAUUACCUAAAAAGGAGUUCAAGAUCUCUGUGAUCUGAAUCUACCCCUCAUUGAGAUGUUAAAACCGAACUCCCAAGGUGAUAUUCCGGAGGAUGGGGCCUUGGAAAGGUGAGGCGGUCAGGAGGGUGGAGGCCUAAUGAACAGGAUUAGUAAUCUUAUGAAAGAAGACCCUAGAAAGAGCCCUCAUCCUUUCCAUGGAGAAAACUCUGCAACCAGGGUUCCCAGCAUGGCUCAGCGAUGACGAACCCGACUGGUACCCAUGAGGAUGCAGGUUUGAUCCCUGGCCUCACUCAGUGGGUUAAGGAUCCCCAUUGCUGUGAGCUGUGGUGUAGGUCACAGAUGUAGCUUGGAUCCUGUGUUGCUGUGGUGUAGGCCGGCAGCUGUAGCUCCCAUUUGACCCCUUGCCUGGGAACUUCCAUGUGUCGUGGGUGUGGCCCCCCCCCCCCCAAAAAAAAAAGGUAAGAAAAGUCUGCAAACCAGAAGAGGGUUCUUGCUUGAACAUCAGGCACCCUGAUUUGGGACUUUGCCUGGUAAAACUGUAAGAAAUAAAUAUCUGUUGUUUAUAAACGACGCACUCUGUGCUCUGUUAUUACGGCAGCCGAGACCGAGUAACAGUGAGAGGUAGUAGGCUGCCUACACAGGUAGAGCGAAUCACACCUGUGUUUCUUCUAAAUUCUGCCUUCUGUAUCUCACACAGGUGCUUUUUGAAAGGUAUCACUAAGGAUCAACUAUCAAAUGCAGAUAUUUUCAAAUUAUAUUCAUAUUUGGAAUGUGGGAUAUUUUUUAACACCAUGCAUUCAUUCAGUAUUUAUUGAUCACCUGCUGUAUGUCCUUGGCAGUGUGCGCGGUAGUGAGGCUAGAUCAGGGACCAAGUCAAAGCUGUCUCUUUCUUCACAGGGCUUAAACUUGAGAGGGGAAGACAAAUGAACGUCACAUAAUGAAACAUUCACUUCCACCAUAAUAAGUGCUGCAGGAGGGGAACAGCAGGAUCUGAAUUUGAUGGGUGGUUAAAGCAAGCAUUCCUGAGGGACAUAGAUCUGUAGACGGGAGCAGAUGCCUCUCCUCUGGAUGGAGAAUAGGAUAAGCGUCUUUCGAGCAAAAAGGAGGAGUAUGCAUGAAAUCCUCCAGGUGUGAAGGCCUUAUUUACAGAUUAAAUUACUUAUUACAAGCCAAAUGUGCAUAAAAAUGUGAUAUAUACAUAUUUAUCAUUAUUUUGGUUUUCUCUGUGGCUGUUUGAUUAUAUCAGUCCACGUUCAGCCAGAGAUACAGAAAUCGUAGGAGAUAUGUAUUGAGAAAUUUCUUAUAAGCAAUUGGCUCACACAACUGAGGACAUGCUAGGUAAGUCCAUUGGCACAUCCGUAGGGCAGCCUGUUACUCUUGGCAGGAGCUGGAGCUGCUGUCCAGGGCAGAAUUUCCUUUCGCUCUGCUUUUAAUUCCUGUCAACUGAAAGACCCACCCAGAAUGUCUAAGAUAGUCCUGCUUACUUAAAGUUCACUGAUUCUGGAUUUUAAUCAUAUAUACAGAACACCUUCACAGCAACACCCGGGUUAUUGUUUGAAUAACUGGGAACUCUAGCCUAGCCAAGGUGACACAUAAAAUUGACCAUCGCACCAGUACAAUUUAAAUUUGUCCAGCAUGGGAGUUCCUGGUGUGGCUCAGCAGGUUAAGGACCCAGCAUAGUCUCUGUGAAUAUGUGGGUUCGAUCCCUGGCCUCGCUCAGUGGGUUAAGGAUCCAGCAUUGCUGGGAGCUGCAGCUCAGAUUCGGUGUUGCCGUGGCUGUGCCUGGGAACUUCCAUAUGCUGCAGGUGUGGCCCUAAAAAAGGGACAAAAGGAAAAAAAAUUUUAAAACGUGUCCAGUAUGAACAUUUACGCAGUUCUUUUAGGUAAACCCCAGACUCUCAUUUAGAUAAAAAAUGUGCUCCUUGAACUACCUCCUUCUCAAGCCACUUCCCUCUGUGUGAUGGGAUCCCAGUAUCUGAAGCUGACUCUUAUGGGAAGGCCGUGCCUUAUGGGGUCUGAAGUCGUGGGAGGGGUGCCGUGCUGCCCCUCAUGCUGGUUCUUGCGUGUAUGUGUACACUAGCUGAUGUGUGUACCUUCCAGAUGUCUGUGCGUGAUCUACCCGGUUGAUGUGUGUCUUCUGUGUGUCUGGAGAGUCCCCUCAGUGGCGGGUCCUGCAGACCUCUAGACCUCACCUUUGUCCUCCAUUUGGCUCCUGGCCUGGGAGUUUUCUUAGCCCCUCACUCUCCAGGAGGGCUCAAUGGUAAACCCACCGGUUCUCAAGACAUCACCACCUUGACAUGGGCAGCAGCUUUGGAAUGCUGGCUAUAAGGUUCUCCUCUGUCUGACAGGACUCCACCACCUUGAUUCCUGGAAUGCCUAGCUCGACAGAGGGGAGCCGAGAUUGCAGCCUCUUUUCGUGGCCUCUUUCUGGCAGAUGAGAUGCUGCCUUCAGGGCUUCCCCUGUAGAGCCAAUAAGCAUGUCUUUGUCGGUUUUUAUUCUUAUUUUUUUCUUCCCACAAUCUCCCAGGAUUAGAAAGGGGUGGGCUUUCUUUCCUUCUUGGCAGAACUCUUCCAUGCGCUUUGUUAACCCCACCCCUUGAUGUCUUUUGAAAGGCAGAGUUUAAGUAUCAGUCACGUCCUACACCAAGCAGAGAUUGAGGAGAAAGAACCUCACUUCCUUCUGCUGGCAAACUUUACUAGGGAAAAUCAAGAGCUUGGGGCGGGGGUGGCCAGGGCUGGGAAAGUGAGGAGUACACUCAUUAAGCUUCGCUCAGAGCCUCAGAAUUUAAAUGUCAACUCCUGAUAUGAAUGACAAUUCGAUUUUAAAAGAGCUUCUUUACAGCAGUAAAAACUCCCAGACCAGCGCAAAUGGAACACAAAGUGUUUCUAACAGUGGUGCAAAUGGUUUCCUAACGAUCCAUUUAUCUUAAAGACGUCUCCACAUCUAACCAGAGGCAUUGUCAAGUCUAAGUUAUUGGAGAGAGGGUUUCAAUUUGAGGCCUAGAAGUUAAGUUUAUUUUUCAACAAAUGUGAGCAAGUGUCGAGGCACAGCCUGUUAUAUGAGUUCUGAGUCUUAGUAUAAUUGGUUGAUUAGCCAUUGCAAAGACUUAUUCUUUGAAGAAUAAAAUGAAGAUCAAUAAAAAAUAGAAUUUCAUACAUUUUGUGAUCUAAUGGAGCAGAGACAGGGCUGACUUGUGCUUAGAAGAGCCCACACUUGGUUUAAUGCCCUGCUCUGGUCAUCUUAACAUUUUUAAUUGUUCUAAAAUUAGAAAAUGACGUACAGUCAUUUUUUAAAAUUCUAAAGUGUUGCCCUAACACUGCCAAUCUCUAUUUUCUAGUCUCUGGUUAGUUUUCUUAUGACAAGUGAUGGGUUUUUGUUGUGUUUUCUUGCAAAUUUCAGUGAAAGCUGGAAUAUUUUGUUUCUUAUAAUGUUAAGAUUGCAAAAUAGCAAAAUUUUCUAAAGGAAAGCUAACGGGCUUUGCUAUUAUGCCUUAUUAGCAUUGGCUGUUAGGUAUUUGACUAUUUAGCUUCUAUUUUAAGGAAUUAAUAUUUGAUAUAGAGUUACAAAUUAAGCACAUAUAAACUCCAAUAAAUAGGGAAGGAGCUGUUGGAAAAAUGAGAGUGGUAGAUUAGGAGGAAGCAAUAGACAUAAUACGGUGAUACUGUAUUUUAGAAAUGUAUAAUCAACCUUAUUUGAGAAAGAAUUGGAAGCAGAAUACCAUUCAGCAUACCAGGGGAAUGGAGAAAUAGACUUCUCAUAACUGGUAUUUAAGCACUUAGAUGUUUGCUUUAGCGUAUUUUAAUGGAAAUUAUUGUUUCUAUGGAAAUCUUAAGUAUUGCAGGCAUCUGAUUCAGAAAAUAGAAUGUACUACCCAUAGUGUUUCUUUUAUUAGUAACUCAGGGUCACCACUGUGAAUAUCAUGUCUUAACUGUUUUCUCUUUGGGAACUAUAAAGGGGCAUAGGAGUCUCUUGCAUCUCUCAAGGAGGCCCUCCAAGCUCCUGCAGAGUUCUAGCUGGUACUUAUUUGUUUCAUAUGUUGGCAUGAGCUCCGCUUUCUAAUAACCCCUUUAACUGAUGUGACUAGGUUUGUUUCUGUGGCUUCCCCCUUUCUCAGGAUUUUGAAAUAAUUUGAUUCUGGUCAGUCUCUUUAUGUGAUUGGAAUUAAGAGAUCUGUAAAAAUGCAGGAGCCAUACCUCAGCCAUCUCAUACCAUAUGGUACCCUAAGAAGGAUAGAAAUCGAAUCUCAGAGAGUUGAGAAGUACACAGAAGGACAAGGAGGAAGGAGAGAAGAGAUGGAGAGAGCGUGCCCAGAUUCCUGAAGGCUUUCUGGCUUCUGUUUCCAGGGCCUCAUGAGGUCAUGCUUGCUUUGAGAUUCUUUAAGCAUCUCAUUAUCUUUUAAGUAACUCCAAAACUUAAAAAAAAAAGUUUGCAUUUGCAUCCUUUUACGUGUGAACAGAGGCAUCGUAAAUUUGAUUGUGUCUGUAUUAGACUUCUGAGCAGCUACUAUUCAAUGUUAACGCAUUUGAAUUUGCAGUUCACAAGCUCUGGCUCUUUUUGUUUGCCUUAACCCCAAUUCAGGACUUUAUAUAUAACUCUUUUUACUUCCAGUAUCACUGACGUUAUGUGUAUGAAUAUCAUAAUAGUCUAAGUAAGUGAUGAUGAAGGCCUCGGCUAGUGUUAGGACCCUAAGGGAGAUUCUGGGCUAACUAGGAAGGGCAGGAUAGUAUUAGGAGGGGGCUUUAUAGACCUUUAACAGGUGCGAUGAGCCGAAUGGGAGGCUGAGUCUUGCAGAGGCUUAUGAAGGAGUGGGUGGAGUUUGAUGCUGGUCACGACAAUAGAGCACAAAGAAGGUGUGCAUGGGAUGAUGCAUUCCUUUCAGGUUCUGUUGAGUUUGCUUCCCUUGAGGAGGAAAGUAUUUGAGUCUGGAGCUCCAGAGAACAACCUAAAUGACAGUUAAAAAAAUCCAGGAGUUAUCCAUUUUUAACUGAGAAUUGACUCCAGAGUGGUUAAAGAGACUACUCAGCAAAGGUGUGCAGUGUAAGAAGAGAAAGCUAGAGGUGGGACACUGAGAACAGCUUCCAGUGGAGGAAGCGGAGGAGCUUCUGGGAAAAUUGCGAAGCAGCAGCCUGGGGGGCAUGAAGGAAGCCAGAAAAGACAGCAUCAGAAAAGACAAUCAAGAGAUGUUUUUGAGAAGGAAAGAAUAGUCAGUGCUGUCAACUGACCUUGGAAAGUCUAGUAGGGUGAGGAGUGUUAGACACCCAUAAGCCGUGAUAGCUCAGAGACAGCUGCCGCCUUGAGGUUCCCUGCUGCUAGUGGAUUGAUGGGGGGAAGGACAGAUAACAGUGGAAAGAGACGAAAGGGACAGUGUGGAGGUGGACAUCAAGUAUCUGCCUUUCAGAGGCUGAGCCGAGAGUGCAAGGAGAGGAUUUAUUCAUGCAAGAAGGUGCAGAGAUGAAGGGAAAGGCUUUUUAACAAUAGAGAUUGUGUGCUGUCCCACUGAAGGAAGAAGGAAGUCAAGAGGCACAAGGGAAGGGGGGGGGGAUUAACUGACACGGGGAGAUGGAAAAGGACAGGUUGUAGAGCCUUAGUGUCUGAAUUUACUUCCGAUAAACGUUCUGGACAGACACACUUAGGUCAGCAGGGAGAUAUGCAAGGAUGAAGGUGUACUAUCCCCAACCCAGGGGUGGUAUUUCCCUUCGUAAGGAAUGGCCACUUAGGAGGGUACCAUUGCUUCUGUCUACCUUAGGGGGAAGAGCGAGGCAUAAUUUAUUUAAUUUGUGAAUUGGGACAAACCAGCCUUUUUUUUUUUUUUCUGCCGUACAACAAAAUGAGCAUCAGUUAUCUGUAUACACACAUCCAUUCUCUUCCAGAUUCUUUUCCCAUGAGGGUUAUCACAGAAUACUGAGCUGAGGUCCCUCGACUAUAGAGCAGGUCCCUGUUGACCACCAUCCAUCCAUGUACAGUAGUGUGCAUAUGCCAGCCCCAAACUCUCAAUCCAUCCCUCACCUCCCACCUUUCUCAUAUGGUAACCAUAAUUUUCUUUUCAAAGUAUGUCUGUUUCCGUUUUGUGACUGAUCUUAAGUUUUUUUUUAUCACUUAUUUUAGAUCUAACAUAUAAGUGAUACCAUAUGUUUGUCUUUCUCUGACUUAUUUCUCUUAGUAUGAUAAUCUCUAGUUGCAUCCAUGUUGCUGCAAAUGACAUCGUUUUGUUCUUUUUCAUGGCUGAGUAAUAUUCCUUAUGUAUAUAUACAUCACAUCUUCUGUAUCCAUUCUUCUGACAAUUUUUGUCUUACUUCUCAACUGUCUCAGAAUUCAGCCAGGAAAGAGGCAUCCUUUCUUCUUGGUGCUCUUUAUUAAUUUUUAGCAAACUUUUCUUCCAAAAUAUGUGGGGAAUGGUUGAUAAUAGAAGAUAAAAUUUCUCUGUGUGUAUGCAAAUAUAAAGCUAAGAGCAUCUCCACCUUUUGCCUUCAGGUAGGAGGCAAGGGUAAAUACUAGGAGAAGGGAUCAGGAGCAUGGUAGAAUCUGAAGAGUCAAGUGUAGAGGAGUUCCCAUUAUAGCCCAGUGGAAACAAAUCCAACUAGGAACGAUAAGGUUGCGGGUUCCAUCCUUGGCCUUGCUCAAUGGGUUAAGGAUCCGGCAUUGCCGAGAGUUGUGGUGUAGGUCGCAGAUGCAGUUUGGAUCUGCUGUUGCUGUGACUGUGGCUGUGGUGUAGGCCAGCAGCUUCAGAUCCAAUUAAACCCCUAGCCUGGGAACCUCCAUAUGCCAUGGGUUCGGCCCUCAAAGGACAAAAGACAAAAAAAAAAAAAAAAAAAAAAAA